CAACCAACCAACCACCCAAACCAGUACUUGCACCGUAAAAAAGUCAAAACAAAUACAAGGAAAAAGAAGCAACGCUUCCUCGAUCAAAUCACCAAGAUCACCAUGGGCAACACAUCUUCGAUGCUCACUCAAUACGACAUCGAAGAAGUCCAACAACACUGUAACCAUACCUUUUCGCAGCAAGAGAUAGUGUCGUUGUACCAGAGGUUUUGCCAACUGGAUCGAAACGGCUGCGGUUUCGUCCCAGCCGAGGAGUUCCUUUCCGUUCCUGAAUUCGCCGUCAAUCCACUCUCUCAGAGACUGUUGAGAAUGGUAGAUGGACUGAAUUUCAAGGAAUUUGUGGCAUUCUUGUCUGCAUUUAGUCCUCGUGCUCCUUUGCAACACAAAAUCGAAUUUAUCUUCAAGGUGUAUGAUUCGGAUGGCAAUGGGAAAGUUACCUUCAGUGAUAUGCUGGAUGUAUUGCAUGAUUUGACCGGUCAGUUUGUAUCAGAACAACAAAGAAAGCAAGUGCUGACACGUGUCCUUGAAGAAGCAGGUUACUCAAAGGAUUCUUUCUUAGUCUUGUCAGACUUUGUAAAGAUUCUUGGAAAUUCUGAUAUGAAGAUGGAAGUUGAAGUUCCAGUGGACUAAAUGCAGCUGGUAUCAAAUAAAAUUGCAACUUCAGCCCAGAUAGUGGAGUGUAGACUGAAUUCUGUUGGCGAAAAGCGUGAGCUGCCACACUUCUCCGUAAAUCGAUGUUCAACUGCAACUGUUGUAUAUCUAAUUUUAGACCGUUAUUUAGUUGAUAAUGAUUCAAGCAAUGAAUUAUGUUGCAA